UACGUAGGGUCCAAGCGUUGUCCGGAUUUAUUGGGCGUAAAGAGCGUGUAGGCGGCCAAGCAGGUCCGCUGUAAAAACUCGAGGCUCAACCUCGAGACGUCGGUGGAAACCGUUUGGCUAGAGUCCGGAAGAGGAGAGUGGAAUUCCCGGUGUAGCGGUGAAAUGCGCAGAUAUCGGGAAGAACACCCGUGGCGAAGGCGGCUCUCUGGGACGGUACUGACGCUGAGACGCGAAAGCGUGGGGAGCGAACAGG
rnacentral:rRNA from 1 species